GGCUUGCAACAUGCAUGGCCACCUGGAACACACAACUGCCGCGCAGCCAGGAACAGGAAAAGGCGUCUGAGCAUUAACACCGCAUAAUCGAUUUAUUGAUGCUUGUGGAUACAGCACACCGAAGACAAGAGACAAAGCACUCUUUAUCAGAUGGUGUUUUCUUCCUUGUUCUCUGCAAAUGUUAUUGGCAACACAGAAAAACAGAAGAGUUUUGUGAUGUCUGACAACCAUGAAUCUUGAGUUAAAGAAAAUAAACUAAUAUUUUCAAUUACCACUUCAGCGCACCUCAAAAUAUUAAAAGGCCAAGUGUACCCCUUAACGGAAUAUCUAUAAAUCAGAUAAAUUUUUAAGAAUUCAAUUGUUCUGAUUACUUCUGUUUCAAAUGGUAACUUCUGCAUGAGUCUUUUUUCACCCACCUUUUUAUUCAGCCAGCUGUUACUGAAGCUGACUUAAAAGCUCACUUUCAAUUCUUAAU